UCAAAAUUCCUCACAAACCCUUACACACUAUUAUAUUGGAAUAUCACGCAUCCUCAACACCAAAAAAAACUUGAAGUAUAUAUUUCGGUAGCAAUUUCAAAAUGAAGACUGAAUCUAUUCCUAGAAAAAGGAGAUCGCGCAGGAGACGCAGUGGAGGAAGUGAUUCAGUAGAGAGUACUCUUGAGAAGUGGAAGGAGUACAAUAAACAGCAGCAACAACUAAUCAGUGAAAGAGAUGGGGUUGAAGUAAUUCACAAGGUUCCUAAAGGAUCCAAAAGAGGGUGUAUGAAAGGCAAAGGUGGACCACAGAAUUAUGAUUGCAAGUUCAGGGGCGUGAGGCAGAGGAUUUCGGGCAAAUGAGUUGCAGAAAUUCGCAAACCUAUCAAUAGCAAGAGUGUUGGUGAAGAAGCAAACAAACUUUGGCUUGGAACCUUUUCUACUGCACUUGAAGCUGCUCUUGCUUAUGAUGAAGCAGCAAGGACCAUGUAUGGCCCUGGCGCUCGUUUGAACUUUUCUCAGCAUCAUGGCAUAGAAUUAGUAGGUUCUAAUGGAUCAUCUACUAGUCCAGUAUUUGAUCAGAAAUCACCAAGUGAAACCUAUAUAGAUACUUUGAAUGGUGGUGAUGUUGCAAAAGUUGACGGGUUGGAGGAAAAUCUUGAUAUGGGUCUCGAAGAACAACUCAAAUUUUCUGAGGUAAAUGAAUUAUUGGAGAUGGAAUGUGAGGGAGGAAUUCUUCAAGGGCCUUUUAAGUAUGUAAAGGACGAAGUUGCUGGAGGAAGUGAAGGACUAGAAGGAGAGUUAGAGGAGGUUUUGAAAAACUCUGGUUUAGUUGAAGAGUGUAAUAAUUACAUGCUAGAGGAUUCUAUGUGCAUGGCUACGAAUACAGGAGCUGAUUAUAACUCUUGUGAUGCUACUGAACAGGGGAUUAUGGGGAAGAGUGAAGUGUAAAAUUA